rnacentral:misc_RNA from 1 species
UGGGAGGGAAUUCCUGCAAGCAGGACUUGCAUAAUCCAUGUAUAGAAGAAAAAGAAAAAUCAGCAUGCAUACAUGAGCUCAUAAACGCACACAACAGUGCACAUAGAUCGAUCAUUGAGAUUCCAUUAUUUAUGAAUUACAAGAGAGCACAACUCAAAUCCCACUUCAAGAAGAUCUUACAGAAGUAACGGAAAAUUGUUCAAAAUUUGCUGACUGCAGAUUCACGUUUCGAUUGCUUUUUCAUCUAAAAAGGAUGUUAUAGAAAAAGCAUCAAGACAUCCAUAAAAUAAGUUGAUACAGGAUCACCAGAUAUCCAAAAAUGCAACUCCUAAACUCAGGUUAUCAAACCUAAAAAAGAUACCAGGUUCAUAUGGUCAGGCUACUGGUCCUCAGUAUAAAAAUGAAAAUGCAUCAAGCUGCCUGAGCUUCAAUCUCUUGGGCAGUUUCUGUUGAUUUUGGUGAGGUUGGCUUCAUCUCCAAUGAUUUUGAUAAGCUUGGAAUGUAUCGCCAGCAACGCUUAUGAACUCCACUUAUCUUCUUUGGAGCAUCAGCAGGAAUUCCUGUACUAAAUACUAAUUAGACCAACUUUGCAACCAUAUUAAAAAAUUAACCUUUUAAAAUGGAGCAAAGCCAUUGCCUGCUAGCACUUCCAUUGGUACAAGUAUCAAAUAUGAACAAUGAUGCAGGUAUAUUUUGAGGAGGUUGUGACCACCGGGCAAAGAACGCGUAUAAAUUAAAACCAUGACUCCAUCAGCUUUUUAUCAUAUCAGUCCUACAGCAGCAUACAUGUUCUAAGAGAAAAGGUUAUGGCAUAUGAGAAAGAGACAAAGGUUGCAUUAUAUGACUAUGAUAAGUGACCAGGCAUUUUAUAAAUGAAAACAAUGCCAUAGCAAAGUCCCAUUCAAACUGUAAAAAGAGGUUUCCAUGAAUCAUUAAGUUUAGGACACAAUUCUUUAAACAAAAUGAGCAAAGAAUUUUAACCUAGUAACCUGUGAACCUGUACCAAACCAAUUAUUGCAUAGCCAACAAGUUUACUUGAUUCUUAGAGAAGAAGUGGGAUAAAUAAAUUUACAUUCAACUAGGACUAGCCUAAUCCAAACUCUGUUAAGGGUUGAAAACUGAAAUACUAAGAAAAGUAGCUAUUGGCAUGAUUCGACAAAAUUAUCUUAGAAUGACUGCUAUUGGUAUGAUUUGACAAAAUUAUCUUAGAAUGAACCAUAAGCAAAGAUCACAAACCACAGAAAAUAAAUGAAAGGAAUAAGAAUAUGAAGUCAAAAAAUUUAAGAACAUCCUCUUUGGAUGCUGCUCCAUCAAUUUAUUUAUGGAGCUCUGCAACUGAAAAUUUUUUGACUACUAAAUCUGCAACAGUAUUUUUCUUCUGGUGCCUUCUCUAAGGGGAAGAAAUCUACAAGAGUUUGUAAUCCAAUCCAGGAGUGGAGGCUAAAUAUGUUCCUCAGAUCAUUAAAUGCAGCAGUAUUCUAGCACAUCUAAAGUCUGCUCUAAGUCUAAAUGCUUGUACAGGUUCUCAUGGGUUUAAAUUUACAGAGAAUAGAAUUAUGAGAAGACAUUUAUUUUCAAGCAUCAAAACUGCAAUGUAAAAAAAUCAUCUGUUGUAUAAUAAAUUUAAAUAUUUGUUAAUAGCACCUUCAAUAGUCAAUCACAGGAAAUUUCAUAUAACAGAAAGUGGGCUUAAAUAGCACCUCAAAACCAAGGAUAUCCAAGCAAAACUGAUUUCCUAUCAGGAUGAGUUUCAAAAUCUUUUAAAGCAGUAUAUGUCCUAUUCCCAAUCCAUUAAAUCCCUUGCACAGUUUGCUAAUUAUCACAUAUUUCCCCACUCUGGCAAUCCUUUAAUGUCAAAUUCACUAAAUUUUAAUCAAUGAGGAUUCAAUCAAAGAGACAAAUGCAGCGCAAUAUUAAUAAGAAAAUCUUAAUUUAAUUGUUUUAAAACUGAAUCACUGAUCUCCAAAUAUAACAUUAACUAAGAAGGAAAUCGCAAAAUAGUAAAGUUAACACUAACCGUCUUUAUAAGCAAUCCCCCAGGCUUUUCCAUGCCUACCAUCCUUGUAGAGAUUGAUCUUAGUAAUUUCAUAAGAGACGUUUUUCCAAUGAGAUUUAGCCAUGUGAUAACCGAUUCCCCAAUUGGGCAAAAACUGAGCAACCUCGAACAAGUUCUUCUUCUUUUUUCGCUUGGGUUUCUUGGAAGCCGAGGAAGUGGAAGAGGCAUUAGCGGAGGGAGCAGAAGUGCUGAAGCUUUUGAGGAAGUUGAAAGACAAUCUGAAGAAGCUUAAGGUCUGAUUAGUUGCCGAUGCCCUGCACACGAAACUUGUCGCCAUUUUUUUUUUAUUUCUAGGUUUACGCUUCUCUGAGUCUGACUGGGUUUUGCUCAAUUGCUGGUGCUACCACCGACCGCUGCGAAGAGAGCCAUCUUCAUCUAAAGGUUUUUCUUUUUAUUAUGAAAUAACCUCGUUAUUUUACGUAUUUGUCAAUUGACCCCUCAACCA